CUGGUCUGUACUGACCUGAGGCGCGAAAGCUGGGUAGCGAACAGGAUUAGAUACCCUGGUAGUCCAUGCCGUAAACGAUGAGUGCUAGGUGUUAGGGGGUCCGACCCUUAUGGGGGCCAUUAACGCAAUAAACACUCCCCCUGGGGAGUACGGGCGCAAGGGUGAAACUCAAAAGAAUUGACGGGGGCCCGCCCAAACGGGGGAACAUGGGGUUUAAUUUCACGCAACGCGAAAAAACUUACCAGGCCUUGACCUCUUCGGACACCCCAAGAGAUUGGGUCGUCCCUUCGGGGACCGAAUGACAGGUGGUGCAUGGUUGGCGUC
rnacentral:rRNA from 1 species